AAUCAACGCUGGCGGCGUGCCUAACACAUGCAAGUCGAACGAGAAAGUGGAGCAAUCCAUGAGUACAGUGGCGACCGGGUGAGUAACACGUGACUACCUACCCUUGAGUGGGGGAUAACCUCGGGAAACCGAGGCUAAUACCGCAUAAUAUCGAGAGAUCAAAGGAGCAAUCCGCUCUUGGAGGGGGUCGCGGCUGAUUAGCUAGUUGGUGAGGUAAUGGCUCACCAAGGCGAAGAUCGGUAUCCGGCCUGAGAGGGCGCACGGACACACUGGAACUGAAAC
rnacentral:rRNA from 1 species